GCCAGGCAUGGUGGAUCAUGCCUAUAAUCCCAGCAACUCGGGAGGCUGAGACAGGAGGAUCACUAGUUCAAAGUCAGGCUCAGCAACUUAGUGAGACCUUCUCUCAA
rnacentral:sRNA from 1 species